GAUCUGCUGCGAAGCGACGAACCGCAACGGCAGUCACUCGCCUCAGCGAACUUCUGUCUGCUGCAUCUCAAAGGAGCAUGGGGACCUGAUGAUACCUUCAACUAAAAAAACCAAAUGUGCUCUCGUGUGGUCCUGACGGAAAAGUAGUAUCAACAAGAACCCUCCACUUUUUCGACCAAGUUAUCGUUAUGAGAUCCUUCUGAUGGCUUCUUACUAGGCUAUGCCGCUCCGAAGCAUUGAGAUGACGAAGCGUCGUGGUAGCUGCACCUCUGCCUUCGAAAGAUGAAUCAGUCAUUCCACACUGUGCUUACUGGCUUUGUAUAGAGUCUGGCAAAUCCGACAGACUUGGACUGCCUUUUUCAAGAAAGUUUGAAAUAGCAUCCCUUAUGCACCUGCAUUUCAAUUCCAAUCUGUAUUACAAGAAUGACAG